ensembl:processed_transcript 5530601H04Rik RIKEN cDNA 5530601H04 gene
GGUAGAGUACGGCCUGAGAAUUUUGUUCCAGCACCGGUGUGAGGAAAACAUCUGAGCCCAUGAAUUGCCAGACCCUGGAUACCUGAGACACAUCCACUUGCUUCUCAGGUUUGGAGUGCAUAAUGAGGAGAAAUAAAAACAGAAAGAUCUCCAGAAAGAAGCCAUGGUAAGAUUCAAGGUUUCACAGUCCAAGCUAAUGCCUGUGGACACUUGACCAAGUGAUCUGAGAAAAUUGGAUUUCUGGCAAAACAAGUGUACCUAGACUCAGGCAAGGGUGGAGAACAGAGGGCGACUAGAUUAAAUGGAAAGAAUGCCCAGGCAUCCCAUUGCCUCCCUUUGACGUUCCAGAACUUCAUCAAGACAGUGAUGAGCUACAUGUACACCUGGAGGAGAGUUCAGGAUCAAGCUCAGAAGCGCACAGCUGCCAGCAAGCAGUCUACUACUGAACUGCACCAUCUCUCCAGCCUGUGCUUACUCUUGAAUAGCCCCAAAGUAGUCAAUGGUGUGGGCCCUGAAAGGAACUGUAUACCUGCUCUGCCCAUGACUGCUUCUGCCUCUACCUCAAUGUACUGUAACUGUUUAACAAGGUUGCUCUGGCUCAGGCUGAGAAAUUGACUCCACCCUUACCCUGACGCCUGGCAUGUCCACAUGUGGUCCUGUGUAGUCAGCAACCCCAGAGAACAAGUUACAAGAAAUUAAAGACACGGAAUUCCAAAGGACAAUACAUGUUCAACAAGCUCAAACCAUUCAGAGAGGGCACAGAAUGAAAUUAAAGACAACAGGAAUAAAAUUCUGGGAGUCCAAGUAUACAAAAACACAGCUCAGCAACACAUGGAACAGCAAGACUGUAAAUUCUCAGUCCAGCUAUGGAUAAUUUAGGAUCCUUUGUAGGGCUAUUUGGUACUGGACAACCAAUUGGAGUGUUGUUUGCGGGGGAGGACCACCUCUCCAGGUAGAAUCUAAACAUCAGAAAAUCAACAACCCAGUUAAAAUAAUCUAGAGCACUAACCAGAGCGUUCUCAGAAGAAGCACUACAAACGGCUAAGAAACACGAGACUGCUCAACAUCCUUUGCCAUCAGGGAAACACAGAAGCUCACUUUUCAGUUUUCAUCUUUCUGGAGUCAGAAUGGUUAUCGUCAAGAAUGCCAGUGACAUGGAUGUAGAGGACGGAUUCCUUCAUUGUCUAAGUCUCUGGAAAUAGUGCAGAAGAGUAGUCAGGGACUAAAAGAUGGAAGACAGAAAGGGCUGCAAAGUUCCAUCCUAGAGACUCAAUACAGCCAUUGCAAUGAUGAACUCACAAAAACUGCAUUUACCUGAACUUAGCCUGCUCAAGACAUUGAAAGUGUUUCAAAGUAGCUUUUCCUGUUGUGAAUGUACCUCUCAGCUAGUCUGGUUUCUGGUUCAGAGCUCUUAGGCACAGAGUUGUCUUGAACAUUUGCUUACAGGCACUUGUGUAGAUAUCAGCUGCUUUUUUUUGUUAAAUCUCUGAAAUAAAUGCCUAGGCGUUCAAUGGCAAUGUUAUAUCAGUAUGUAUUUAGCUUAGUUUUAAAAUAAGAAACUGUCAAAUACUUUUGUAGAAUUACUGGACCAUUUUACACCCCUGCCAACAAAGUAAGAUUGAUCCAGCUCCCCACAUUCUCAUAAACAUUUGUUUUUGUUUCUUUAAGAAGACAAGUUAACCAUUCCAUUUAUUGAGAAUUUACUUACCAUUCAGUGCAUUGCUUAGAUAUGUAGUAUUCAGUUUUUAGUACACAUACAAGGUUGUGUAUCGAUUACUACUAAUUCCAGAACAUUUCCAUUACCAUAGAAAAAGAAACCCAAUAUUCAUUUUCAUCUCUCCUCUAUGGACUUACCUAAUCUAGAUAUACCAAAUAAAUGGAAUUUUU